CAACAUUAUUACAUCCAAUGUUCUAUCAAUAAAACAAAUCAAAAUAAGCACAACAAACAUGAACAACAGAGUAAUCUAUGCACCCAAGCAUUGUCGCCCAGUUGCACUUCCUACCCCUCCCUCUCAUUUACAAUUCUUGCUAGUAUAUAUUCUAUCCAUUUUUUGUCUCGACAUAUCUUCCUUCUAUUUAAUAUCUCCGUAAUCUUAUAUUUACACUCCAUCUGGAUCCGCCUACAAAUCGUUUCUGGUCUAGGAACUUUCUGAUUCCACACCAUGGCAUUGUGCGCCUUCCAUAUAUAGUUCCUAGUUGCAGCAGUAAUUGCCCAUAGAAACGUCCUGCUCACCUUUUCUUUAGCCCUUCGCGUGAUUCUCGUCUACCAACCUUGCAACGUUUGAUUCCUAAUAGUUAUUUGGAGCCACUGCAUAAUUCUUUCCAGACAUAUUUGAGAGAAAUCGCAUUGAAAUAAUAGAUGAUCAUUAUCUUCAUUCAUCCUUCCACAUAGUGCACUGAUCUCAUCUGUGAUCAAUUCCAUCUUCUUCUGUCUAUUAUUCAUCAACAACCUUUGAUAGAUUGUUAACCAGCAAAUAAAUUGUUGUUUUGGU
rnacentral:lncRNA from 1 species